rnacentral:lncRNA from 1 species
GCUGGUUUCUAAUAAUGUUCUGAAAGGAAAAAUUAUCACAGUGUUUCUUCAACUAUCCCAGCUGCUUCGAUUUCUCCACCAGAAAGAACAGGAGAGAGCAAGAGAAGAACAAGUUCUCGUGGGAUAGAUGGAG